rfam:Trichinella zimbabwensis scaffold19s, whole genome shotgun sequence.
GUGCAAUAUGAAAGGAGAGCUAGUUAGCACUCCCCUUCACAAGGACGGAGACUUGUCAUACAAGCACAAUAGCAAUGAUCGCCUACUUCUGCGAGAUUUGCUACCAGAUUUUU